UUUCUUGGCAGAAGUUUCUCUACUGGGAAAUUCCAGAGUUCUCUGUUUGUCAGAUAUUUAGUAUUUCUACUCGCACAUGAAGUCAUCCCAAGGCCUAUAUUCGGAGUCACGAGCAGAUAGUAAGCUGAUGUAUAUGGGUUAAAUGGUCCUGGCAUCACAAUAUGGUAUACCAAUCCCUGUUGGGCGGCAAAGGAAGAAAGAAGAGGAAAAAUAUAACUCAGAUGGAUUCUGACUUAUACACCGGAUCGAUCUUGAGAGUUGACGCAUAGUCCGUGGAGUUCACACUGAAUUUACCACCAGUCUGAAUAGGACUAUUGUCGAAAUCACGGAACCAGGAGAACUGAGCAGGAAGGACCUGAAAUGAGGACUGGUAUCCAGAUGAUAGAUCCGUGGAUUAUGUUGGAUUCCGUAGACUACGUCAAUGACCAGCGUUUUUUAAAUUUAUUAUAAUAAAAUAGUUAUCAA